rnacentral:lncRNA from 1 species
CAAAGGCUAACAGCCUAACAGAUUCUAAGUCAUGUUGGUUUGGAGUACUUUUUGUUUUGGUAUCAUGACUUUUUGUGAUGGGAAGUCGGAAAUAAUUCUUCUUUUUGGAAUAGUGCAGUUAGGUAGAAGAUCGAAUUCAUUUCAAAAUCUUGGUUUCUUAAGUGAUCUAGAUCAAUCUGUAGUCAAGAUUCAAAACUUUCAAAUGUGUGAUGAUAAUUUAGUUAAUGCAACUAGCUAGUGUAUGUGUGUGAAUGAGUGGUCCUAUUUGUUAGCUCGUGCUUUGAAAUCUACACCGACUCCGACCACACAGCAAAGACCAGAUUAAAUUAAGGGACGUGUAGCGUAUAAUGAGGUUCCAAACUUGAUAGACCACUUCAAGUGUGUAUGUAUAAAAAAAAAAAAAAAAAAGUGUAUGUAUGUGUAACUGUCCGUUUACAAUGACGAAAACAUGUCUUUGUUAAAUUUCUUUCCAUUUAUUCUGUGGACCAAAAUUUAGUUUCACCUAACCUGGAAAAAAAAUAUUUUUCAAUGUUUUCAUAAUUUUUCUUGUUUAAUAUGGAAACGUAGGGGUGUUCAAUCCGGAUAUCGGUUCGGUUUAGGUUCGGUUAUUUUUUCGGUUUUCGAUAUUUCGGUUAGUAAAAUAUAACUAUCAUUCUAAAUCCAUAUUUACUUCGGUUCGG